rnacentral:rRNA from 1 species
CAAGACGGAGCAAAUCCCUUAAACGGCCCCCCAGUUCGGAUUGGGGUCUGCAACUCGACCCCAUGAAGCCGGAAUCGCUAGUAACCGUGGAUCAGCCUUGCCGCGGUGAAUACGUUCUCGGGUUUUGUACACACCGCCCGUCAAGUCAGGGGAGCCGGAAAUGCCCGAACCCCGCAUUCGCGGGGGAAGGUAGGUCUGGUAACAAGGACUAAGUCGUAACAAGGCAUCCGUAGCGGAAGCUGUGGAUGGAUCACCUCCUUUCUAAGGAGAAA